ensembl:lincRNA
GAGAGAGUAGGGGUUUCAAGAAAAAUAGGAGAGAGACAAAGGAGAGAGAAAGAACUGCUUGUGGAAAUACAGAAUAUCCCACAUUUUCAAUGUGGAAAGUGUAUGAGGGCAGCAGUAGGGCUGAUUGGAGCCAUUGUACAGUGUCGGGAACAUACCAGCACACUGAGAAUAGCAUCAUGUCAUAAGGACCCAGAGCAGGUGGACCCUGCUGUGAUGCACAAAGAGGACCAUGCAAGAUAUGAUAAAGAUCUAUGUCACUGAAUUUUGGUUCUGUAUUUGUAUCUCAGCUUCCCGGAAAUAAAAAAGAAUUCUAACAUUCAUACUUUCAGUAUUUUAUGUGAGAGGUUUUGUUGUCAAAAUCAAGUCUGAGAGCAAUGUUUAUUGGGGCCUUUAAUUGGAGUCACCAAGCGAUAAAGGGGACAUUGUCCUCAACAAUAAAACUAUAAUAAACACGUUUUGGACAAUAAAUAUAUGACAGUUUCUUAAAAGCAAUUUCUUGGGCAAUCAAGACAAUAUGGCUUGAGUAUGGAGUUAUAUGAUGGUCUGGAUUAAUCCAGUAUUAAAUCUCUGGUUAUUACAGAAAUCAGUGGAGCCUAUUCUUCCAAAUAAGCCUUAAAUAUUACUUAUCUCAACUGAGAUUUUGGUGAAAAUUUAGCUUUAGAGCUUUUAUUGACUUGCCAAUGACCUGAAGUUAAGAUUAUUCUUUU